UUAUCGGAAUGAGAACAAUUUAAAUCCUUUAACGAGGAUCUAGCGGAGGGCAAGUCUGGUGCCAGCAGCCGCGGUAAUUCCAGCUCCGCAGGUGUAUAUCUAUGCUGCUGCGGUUAAAAAGCUCGUAGUUGGAUCUGCGUGCUCGGAACCGGUUGGCUCACUGAGUUCAAACUGGUCUCCGGCGCUUUAUUGGCUGGUUUUCCCUUGAUGCUCUUAACCGGGUGUCUUGGGUGGCUAGCACGUUUACUUUGAAAAAAUUAGAGUGCUCAAUACAGGCGCAAAGCCUUGAAUAGUGGUGCAUGGAAUAAUAGAAUAGGACCUCGGCUCUAUUUUGUUGGUUUUCGGAACGCGAGGUAAUGAUUAAGAGGGACAGACGGGGGCAUUCGUAUUGCGACGUUAGAGGUGAAAUUCUUGGAUCGUCGCAAGACGGACGACUGCGAAAGCAUUCGCCAAGAAUGUUUUCAUUAAUCAAGAACGAAAGUUAGAGGUUCGAAGGCGAUCAGAUACCGCCCUAGUUCUAACCGUAAACGAUGCCAACUAGCGAUCCGCAGGCGUUAAACAACGACCUUGCGGGCAGCUUCCCGGAAACGAAAGUGUUCGGGUUCCGGGGGAAGUAUGGUUGCAAAGCUGAAACUUAAAGGAAUUGACGGAAGGGCACCACCAGGAGUGGAGCCUGCGGCUUAAUUUGACCCAACACGGGAAAACUCACCCGGCCCGGACACCGUAAGGAUUGACAGAUUGAGAGCUCUUUCUUGAUUCGGUGGGUGGUGGUGCAUGGCCGUUCUUAGUUGGUGGAGCGAUUUGUCUGGUUUAUUCCGAUAACGAACGAGACUCUGGCCUACUAAAUAGUGGGCGGAUUCUUUCUGUCCGCAACACUUCUUAGAGGGACAAGCGGUGUUCAGCCGCACGAGAUUGAGCAAUAACAGGUCUGUGAUGCCCUUAGAUGUCCGGGGCUGCACGCGCGCUACACUGAAGGAAUCAGCGUGCUUUCUGACCUUGCCCGAAAGGGCUGGGUAACCCGAUGAAAAUCCUUCGUGAUUGGGAUAGGGACUUGCAAUUAUUUCCCUUGAACGAGGAAUUCCCAGUAAGUGUGGGUCAUAAGCUCGCGUUGAUUACGUCCCUGCCCUUUGUACACACCGCCCGUCGCUGCCCGGGACUGAGCCGUUUCGAGAAGAACAGGGACCGUCGUUGAAGGGCCCUAACGGGCUUUUCUCUGAUAGAAACUGUUUU
rnacentral:rRNA from 1 species